AGCACCUCUCCCAGCAAGACAGGCUGAGAGAGUCGGGGCUGGUCAGUCUGGAGAGGAGAGAGCUCUUAGAGCACCUUCCAAACACCUGCAGGAGAGCUGGAGAGGGAUUUUGUCAAGGGUGUGUGGUGAUAGGGCAAGGGGGAAUAGCCUUAAUCUACACCUAAUCUCUUUUUGUUUAUCUGUCAGGGGAAGAUUCUUUCCUGUGAGGGUAGUGAGCCACUGGCACAGGCUGCCCACAACAGCCGUGCAUGUUUCAGAUUCCUGAAAAUGCUCAAGGCCAUAUUGCAUGGGGCUUGGAACAUCCUGGUCUAGUAAAAGCUGUCCCUGCCCAGGGAUUUGAAAUUAUAUGACCUUUAAGAUCUUUUUCAAGUCAAAUCAUUCCAUGAUUCUAUGAUCCCAGGAGCAGGAGGGCAGUGGCAGCCACAGAGGCCUGGAGAUGCAUCCAGAGAGUGCCUGUGAUGUCCCACAUGUGUCACAGGAAGGGACUAAAAUGUGUUUUAUCCUGUGGAACAGCUGACAGCACACACAGUGAGGCAAAAACCUGACUGGGGUGAUUGGUUUGAGGGAACGAGGCAGGCUGUGGUGGUUUCAGUCCUUGGUAACUGCAGCAGGGGUCAACCAGUCACCCAAGAAAGGGAUUUUGCAAUAUAAGAGCAAAUGGUUUUAGGUCUCUGUGAUGCAGCCCCUUGCACCUGAUGGUUUGUGAGAGACUGCUGGGCAGCUGUGACACUUGUACAGGUCUUGCUCCCCACUCCUUAAUAGCUAGAAACACAAUUUCUAAGACAAACCCUCAGAUUUUGCCAGCAUGGCAGAGGUGUCCCCUUGGAGGGACAGAGGAGGGGCAGCUGCACAGCUCAUCCCCCACGGGGGCAGGACACAAGUGCCAGCAGUGGCAUUUGGAAGCUCAGCACUGGGAUCCCUGUGCAGCAGGUUUGGAGGGCACUCACAUGUUCACUUCUCUAAGAGAAGGUCCUCCACUGGGGCAGGAAGAGUGCCACAAGUCACCAUGGAAUGGCUGAUGCUCCCACCCCUGUCCCUGACUGUUCCUCGUGAUUUGAAGAUGUUUGGGAUGAAUUGGGGUCUUUUAGAUGGUUUUGUCCCAUCUUGCUGGCUCACAUGUAUUUAUGAGCCCCACAGAAAGGGAGAGAAGCUGAAGAGCAAAACGUUUACCAGCUAAAAGCCAGUUCUCCAUGGUUCCAAAGCCUGAAGUUUAUGCUGAAUGCAUCAUAACACACCUCCUUAGAAAAAUUAUUGAUGAUUCCAGCUGCAAAGGUAAAAAAGGCAAUCAAUGAGUUUAAGACAUUGUAUUAAAAUAUGCAAUAAAGGAAUUCAUUUUCUGCAUUACAUUCAUAUGACAGACAGGUAACAAUUUUAAUACACAUGCAGGCUACAUCUGAAGCCUAAACUCAUCAUAUCAUAUAUAGGUCACUAAUUGUAUUUUCAUCCCUCUCUUCUGAAGUCUUCUGAUGUUUUAGAUCAGAUCACCACAAAUCUGCCAGCACAUUUCCUCGUUUUUUCUGUUAAACAUCACAGUGGAGGGCAGCAUCUGGCCUCAAAACCCUACGAUUUUUUUUUUCUGUCUCACUUGGUGUCAGAACUGGUCAGGUUUGGCUUGAUUAACUCUUCCCACCAGCAUGGUCCAGCAAAGGCCCAGCCAAGCACCCAGUGCAGUUCACAAACCCCAGCUCCAAGUGUUUCUGAUCCUGCAAAGGAGCCAGUUUGGCUCUCACAGGCACUGGCACCACCAUGCACUGAUGCAGGCAGCUGCUCUGCUGUGACACCGGGCUGAUUUUAACCCAAAGUGCUUAAACAAACUGUUAAUGGUAGCUCCAAGUGAUUAUCCAUUUAUUUCAGUAUUUGUCUUUUUCAAAUGUGACCUAAAAUCUAUAAGUAAUUAGUUAUUGUACAAGCUACGGUAUUGCAAAAUGCUUCCCUUCAUUUUUUAUUCCGACUCUGAACUAUAACUCCAAAAUCAUUCUAGUCACACCAGCCUUCAAAGGUCUAAAUGGGGAGGAAGGGGGGCUAACUCCUUAGUAUCUUUGAGAUUUACAAGAAUAUUUGAGGAUUUUCUGGGGAUUCAAUGUGAGAUGAAAAUAAAAGAGUUUUGCAGGCAAACAGUGAAACUUAUGCUUCCAGUUCAAAAGGAAAGACACAGAGAAAAAUUUAAAUGCUAAAUAAAUAUUGCUAUUCAACAGCAGUCUUUGUCUUUUGAGUCCUAGGUUAAAAUUACUUCACAGGGACUAUAAACACUCUUUUUUACU